rnacentral:rRNA from 1 species
UACGGGAGGCAGCAGUGGGGAAUAUUGCACAAUGGGCGAAAGCCUGAUGCAGCUAUGCCGCGUGUAUGAAGAAGGCCUUAGGGUUGUAAAGUACUUUCAUCGGGGAGGAAAAAACAAAACUAAUAAUUUUAUUUCUUGACGUUACCCGAAAAAGAAGCACCGGCUAACUCCGUGCCAGCAGCCGCGGUAAUACGGAGGGUGCUAGCGUUAAUCAGAAUUACUGGGCGUAAAGAGCACGUAGGUGGUUUUUUUAAGUCAGAUGUGAAAUCCCUGGGCUUAACCUGGAACUGCAUUUUGAAACUGAAAUACUAGAGUAUCGUAGAGGGAGGUAGAAUUCUAGGUGUAGCGGUGAAAUGCGUAGAUAUCUGGAGGAAUACCUGUGGCGAAAGCGGCCUCCUAAACGAAUACUGACACUGAGGUGCGAAAGCGUGGGGAGCGAAACAGGGAUUAGGAUA